rnacentral:rRNA from 1 species
UACGGAGGAUCCAAGCGUUAUCCGGAAUCAUUGGGUUUAAAGGGUCCGUAGGCGGUUUAAUAAGUCAGUGGUGAAAGCCCAUCGCUCAACGGUGGAACGGCCAUUGAUACUGUUAAACUUGAGUUAUUAGGAAGUAACUAGAAUAUGUAGUGUAGCGGUGAAAUGCUUAGAGAUUACAUGGAAUACCAAUUGCGAAGGCAGGUUACUACUAAUGGAUUGACGCUGAUGGACGAAAGCGUGGGUAGCGAACAGG